rnacentral:rRNA from 1 species
CCUACGGGAGGCAGCAGUAGGGAAUUUUCCACAAUGGGCGAAAGCCUGAUGGAGCAACGCCGCGUGGGUGAAGAAGGUCUUCGGAUCGUAAAACCCUGUUGUUAGAGAAGAAAGUGCGUGAGAGUAACUGUUCACGUUUCGACGGUAUCUAACCAGAAAGCCACGGCUAACUACGUGCCAGCAGCCGCGGUAAUACGUAGGUGGCAAGCGUUAUCCGGAUUUAUUGGGCGUAAAGGGAACGCAGGCGGUCUUUUAAGUCUGAUGGGAAAGCCUUCGGCUUAACCGGAGUAGUGCAUUGGAAACUGGGAGACUUGAGUGCAGAAGAGGAGAGUGGAACUCCAUGUGUAGCGGUGAAAUGCGUAGAUAUAUGGAAGAACACCAGUGGCGAAAGCGGCUCUCUGGUCUGUAACUGACGCUGAGGUUCGAAAGCGUGGGUAGCAAACAGGAUUAGAUACCCGAGUAGUC